UUCUUCUUCGUCUUCUUCUUCGUCUUCUUCUUCUUCUUCUCUUUAAUAGACAUUACUACUCAUCUAUGAUCAGUCUGGAUACAUAAGUGUUUUUCCCAUAAUCUGUUUUCAAUACAAACUGUUCGCUAUUGUUUGCCAGUAUAAUUUUUUUCAGUCUAGCUGGAAGUAUCCAGAUGUGACUGGAUUGUGAUGAUACAGGGUACCUACCAUGUGCAAUCACAAAAUGAAAGAGCAACAAAGUCCCAAGGAGAUUCCACCCUAACGAAGAAAACUAAAUCUGUUUAAUUCCAUUAUAGAGCUGGAAGAGACAUUUAUAAGAGCUCUAUCCUGUGCUGACUCUCUGCUCUUUGAUAAAAGCUCACAAGAGCUCUCUGAAGGGAUCCUUGGCUGUCCCUGCACUGGGGCUGAGGACAGACCCAGCCAUUGUGGUGGAAGAUGCUAGCCCCAGCUGCCUGCCUCCAGCAUCUAGCCAGAGGUUACACCCCACAAACACAUUACUGAGAGACAACACUGGAAUCCAAGUUUGGAGAAUAAACACCUUUUCAAAUCCAUUCACUCAUAAGUCUGUCACUCAAAGACGCUUCAGAUUAUGGAAAACAAGGAGUAGGGGAAACUCAAAAUAUGUGCAGCAAGGCAGACUUUGGCAUUUUCCGUUCAGUUACUGAGUGUUUAACUUGCCAUAGCCCACAGAGGCUUGAACUUCAGUCAAGCUCCUCCUCCUGCUUUGGAUGAGAGGUAACAGCCUUAUGUUGUGCCAGGGGAGGUGCAGGUUGGCUAUUAGGGAAA
ensembl:lncRNA